UACGUAGGGGGCAAGCGUUGUCCGGAAUUAUUGGGCGUAAAGGGCUCGUAGGCGGUUUGUUGCGUCGGGAGUGAAAACUUACAGCUUAACUGUGAGCGUGCUUCCGAUACGGGCAGACUUGAGGUAUUCAGGGGAGAACGGAAUUCCUGGUGUAGCGGUGAAAUGCGCAGAUAUCAGGAGGAACACCGGUGGCGAAGGCGGUUCUCUGGGAAUAUCCUGACGCUGAGGAGCGAAAGUGUGGGGAGCGAACAGG
rnacentral:rRNA from 1 species